CUGAGGUGGAGAUGAGGAGAGGCGUCAGCUCAUAGAGCUGGGCCAGCACUGACAAUGGAACAGCAUCCCAGUUUGUGGGACUUUUAUGGAUGGGGGAGAACAUUCACUUCACAGUGGUUCAAACCACCAGUUGCCCUUUGAUCUAUGUAUUGGGAUAGAUGUCUGGAUCUGUAAAAUAUUGACCGGAGGAAUCCUCCUGUGUGGAAAAGCAAGGCACCUGCUACCUUUAUUCUAAAGACAGAGGUCAUGAGAGAUGCGUAAACACAUUCAGCAAUCUGUUUAUUGAAACUCACAUUGGCAUAGAAAAAAAAAGCAUGGACCGAAAGAGAAAAUUUGAAGUCGCAACCGCUAAGAAGUCUAAUACUGUUAGUAAGAAGGUCACUUCUGUGUUAAAGUUUAGUGCUAUAACUGAAUAGCACUACUGACUACUAUGUUAUUAUGUCAAGCUUGCAAAAAAUGAUGAGCAGCCAACAAUUCAUGGACAUUUUUAUUUUGUUCAAUUGAAAUUCAACUUCAAAUAUUCUGUGACAUUUAACUGCCUCAUCUCAUGGUGACAAGUUUCACUCCCAUGUGUUAGCUGAGCCAAUGAACAUAAUAACACAACUGUAAAAGGCUUCAGUACCUAUCGGCUAUUUCAGACUAUAUGUGCCUUCAGAAAGUAUUAAGAGAUUGUAUGGUGGACAUAAAAUUAAAAAUGGGUCAAUAAAGUCCUAAAAGGGGCCUAGAAGAUACAAACGUGAUGAAAGGUUCAAGCCAGUAUACAUACUGCUGCAGCUAAGAAGAGGUGAGGAGAACUUUGAGGCACACCGAUGAGGGGAUGUCCUGACAGAGACUUCAGGCAGUUAUUAAAGAGGUGCUUACGUAGAAGGCAAAAAGGUCUGACAAUGGCAAAAUACGGGCUGACCCUGUAUGAUCAGUAGUCCUGUACUAUACCGUUCUGUCUGUAAGAGAGAACUGUGCUGGCAUUCGUUAAUCAGUGUGUCGCAGUGCUGAAAGCAUGGGGAGGUGAACAACAUCCAAGAAGGUGCGAACUUGACCAAUGGUACAGUACAGAGGCAGAAAACUCCUGGCACUUCUGGCAUACACAGCGUUCAGCAAGCCAAGGCCAUGCUUCCUCCUCUCCUCCCUGUGGCUCCAGUGCCCUCAGUACCUACCUCCAGAACCAGGAUGAUCAAAAAAGUAGUGAGGACCGGGGGCAGUGACAACAGAACACAGGUGAGAUUUUGGGGACGGGGACAAUGAAAGGUACU